rnacentral:lncRNA from 1 species
AGAGGGAGAAGCCGGCGGACAGGGUGAUGAGCUCGGAAGAAUAGGAGGAAGCGAGGCCGCCAGAGGCAGAGGAGAAGAGGCAAUCGAGUGCUCCUUGCCUGAAAGCGAGGCCGCCAAAGCCAGAGGAGAAGAGGAAGCGGCAGGGUAGGGCGUGGUGAUGGCGGGAUCUCCGACAUGCUCACCAUUGGGGAGCGGCGGCGGUCAGAGCUAGCUAGACGCUGCAAGUAUACAUGGGAGGUUCACGGUUCAGAUUUCGGACCAUUCACAAGUCGUGCAGGUACCUACUCACCCAAGUGCUACAUCUCCAUGUGUCUAAUCCCCUUUUCUUCAGCUAAGGGCAAUUCUCACACCAUGUCAGCCCGCGGUUCGACAUGGGACGUUUGGUGAUUCCUCAACAACUUCUGCACCGUGAGCCUGACAAACACGGCUGCCAUGCUCUUUCCUCCUCUGUCAAGGUAAGCUACAUCAGCAGAAACACACAAAUUGUAUAAGCCUGAUUACAUUACAUAUAUCCUAGUGUUGAGGACAUGUCCGACGCGGAUCCUGCUCCCGCGUGGUCCACGGGGUUGACGCCCUCCUUGCCGUGGUCGAGCGCACCGACGACGACUCCGCGUGUGCUGAACAGAACCAGCUUGGGCAAGCUACCUCCCAUCAGCGGCACCAACCGAGGAAGAGGAACCCAACGACGUGGAGCGAAUACGCUCUACCAAACGAACAGGAAGGACACUACAAGAGGGAUAUAAACGAAGACCAGACAAGGAAGUACAUAUAGGCACGCGAAAAAAGAGAAGAAAACAAAACGAACCCACGAGAAAAAACCAGAAAACAACGUGUCAAUUGAUGGCAUAGGCACUCAACGAUACAUGAAGCCAACGUGACCACAUGCAUGAGCCAUGCAAAGGCAUGUGGAACAACACCAAUCCACAUACUUCUAGAACGGCCAACCCAGCGAAUCAACCUGUGGUUGAGUUGGUUAGGUGGACAGUGAUAUCCUCAACCCACCAGGGUUCAAAUCUUGGUGCUCGCAUUAUUUCUGGAUUUAUUUUAGGAUUUCCGGCGAUGCGCUUUCAGUGGAGGAGACGUUCCCGUCGACGACGAGGCGCCUACGGUGACUUCGUAAAUCUCAAGAUGAUAUGCCGGCUCAGUCUCUCAGAGGUGCUCAUAGGUGUAGGGUGUGCGUGUGUGCGUUCAUAGGGAUGAGUGUAUGCGCGUGUAUAUGAGCGCUUGUGUCUGUACUGAUGCUAAAAAAACGGCCAUCCCAUUACUCAGUCGACCAAACAUUUUUAAAGGAAAAGAUGAACCUUCUAGGAGACCCCACAACACAUGCGUCAAUAAGCAAGAGCACACAGCGUGACAAUGUCAACGGUGAACAAAACGUGACCGCAGGAAAAAUCAACUCCGUGACACCCUAGGAGACAAUCUUGUACAUGCGUCAAUCAAAGAAACACAGUAAUUUUUUUUCCAAAAAACCAGAAAAAAGAAC